rnacentral:lncRNA from 1 species
GUUUAUUUCCAAAGAAAAAAGAAAAUCAUCGUUGUAAAGAUGUAUGCUUUAAAACUCUCAAUUUAUGUAAUGCCCAGAAAUUCUUAAAACAUAUUACUGCUAAUUUAUGUUUUGAUGGAAGAAGGUCAAAAGUUAAGCUUUAAAAUUCUUUUUUUUUUUUUUGUUUUUUCGUUGUUGCUAUUUUUGAGCUAUGAUUUCUGCAUCGGUGGAGUUUAUUGGUUGUGGGUAUGGGUUACUGAUGGUGGUGUUGGGUUAUUGUUGUUUGUCUUUCUCCUCCACCAUGUCAGGGGAUAUGAACAUAUGAACAUUUGAGAAAAUUUUUAGUUCAGAAAAUAAGGAAAGAAAGGAAGAGAUAUAAAAGAUUUGGGUUGUGUUCUUGAGGGAUGAAGAGCACUGGUGAAAAAGGAUUUUUUAUUUUUAUUUUUUAUCG